GAGUUUGAUCCUGGCUCAGAACGAACGCUGGCGGCGUGCUUAACACAUGCAAGUCAGGGAGAAAGUCUCUUCGGGGAUGAUUAAACCGGCGCACGGGUGAGUAACACGUGAGUGACCUGCCUUUUAGACUGGAACAACUUACCGAAAGGUGAGCUAAUGCCGGAUGAGUUAUAUAAGUGCAUGUUUAUAUAGGAGAAGUUGGGGAGACCUGACGCUGAAAGAUGGACUCGCGUCCCAUUAGCUAGUUGGUAGGGUAAUGGCCUACCAAGGCGACGAUGGGUAGCCGGCCUGAGAGGGUGGCCGGCCACACUGGGACUGAGACACGGCCCAGACUCCUACGGGAGGCAGCAGUGGGGAAUUUUGCGCAAUGCUCGUAAGAGUGACGCAGCGACGCCGCGUGAAUGACGAAGGCCUUCGGGUCGUAAAGUUCUUUCGACAGGGAAGAAAAUGCCUAUAAGUAACUGUGUAUGUAUUGACGGUACCUGUAUAAGCAGCCCCGGCUAACUCCGUGCCAGCAGCCGCGGUAAUACGGAGGGGGCGAGCGUUGUUCGGAGUGACUGGGCGUAAAGAGCACGUAGGCGGUGUUGUAAGUCAUUAGUCAAAGACUAGAGCUCAACUUUAGUAAGGCUAGUGAUACUAUAAUACUAGAGUAUCAGAGAGGAUUGCAGAAUUCCUGGUGUAGCGGUGAAAUGC
rnacentral:rRNA from 1 species